GAAAUGCGAUAAGUAGUGUGAAUUGCAGAAUUCUGUGAAUCAUCGAAUCUUUGAACGCACAUUGCGCCCCUCGGUAUUCCGUGGGGCAUGCCUGUUCGAGCGUCAUCUACACCCUCAAGCUCUGCUUGGUGUUGGGCGUCUGUCCCGCCUCCUUCGCGCGCGGACUCGCCCCAAAUCCAUUGGCGGCGGCCCUUGCCUCCCUCUCGCGCAGCACAUUGCGCUUCUCGAGGCGCGGCGGACCGCGUCCAGCAAGCAACCGUCACACCGUCUUUGACCUCGGAUCAGGUAGGGAUACCCGCUGAACUUAAGC
rnacentral:misc_RNA from 1 species